UACGGGGGGGGGCAAGCGUUGUUCGGAAUUACUGGGCGUAAAGGGCUCGUAGGCGGCCAACUAAGUCAGACGUGAAAUCCCCAGGCUCAACCUGGGAACUGCGUCUGAUACUGGAUGGCUUGAAUCCGGGAGAGGGAUGCAGAAUUCCAGGUGUGAGCGGUGAAAUGACGUAGAUAUCUGGAGGAAUACCGGUGGCGAAGGCGGCAUCCUGGACCGGCAUUGACGCUGAGGAGCGAAAGCCAGGGGAGCAAACGGG
rnacentral:rRNA from 1 species